GGACAGCAGAGCUUUGACUGGACCCCUCUAUCCCAGCACCAGUGUUCUAUACACACAGACACAUCAAUGAAGUAUAGACAUACUGUUGAUAUAGAAAUACAAGAUAAAUAUAGUGAUACAUGUUUUAGAUAUGAUAGAUAUAGUGAAACCUAGAUACUGAAGCCAUGUUCGCUCUAUAUGCCACAGCUCUCCUCUGCUUCCUGUCUUCGAGCCAAUCAGCUCCUGCUGCUGCACUAGGCUGUGAGGACCUCCUUGGAUCCACCACAACUAGGCCAGCAGCUCUUGGGAAGAUGGGCCCUCGUCGUAGACAGUAGAGAAGACAGUCACCAUGGAGUUUACAUCUGCUACCAACACCAGAACCGGAACCGGCAUGGCGGCUGGUGCAAGUAGUGUACAUACCCGACAGCAUCUCCAUUGGCAACAGCACCUUCCAGUUAGACAUGAGGGGCUUUUGGAACAUCACUGGGGUCUCCCUGGAGACCUCCUGCCCAGACUUCCUGGUGAUGAGGUGAGCUCCGUAAUAAGGGUGUCCACGGAGCUGUAUUUCCUGAGGAAGGUGGAGGAUGGGACGGGAC